AUUGAUUGGUUUUUCGGAGAGUCCCAGCCUUCAUCUUCUAACUCUCAGGAAACACAGCAAUGGCCUUCUCCUAAUAUGUAAUCUGUGUGCUGGAACCGGGGGGAGCAUCAUCCUCAAAGGGAACACCUGGCUGAGAUAAGGUAGUCAGAAGAUUCCUUUCACUGGAAGGAGGGAGGGUCUUAUUCUUUUGACUAAAGUCUCAGUGACUGCUUUGUCUCUGGGCUCCCCAAAUUGCUUACCAACAAAAUACUUGGAAGGAUAUCGUGUUAGCAUGCAAUUCCAAUUUCUUCAAGUGGAUUUAAAAUGAUUUAAAAAUGUGUACAGCUGCUGGAUAUGAUAGAAUUGCACCUGAAUUUAUUAAACAUCUGGGUCUUCCUGCUCAGGAAUGGUUUGUUCAGUUUUUCGAGAGUUCUGCUGGAAUCCAAACUGCCUAGAAUCUGGCACCAAGCAAAGGUCAUUACCUUGCUGAAACCUGGGAAAUAUCCACAUUUGCCUUUGAGCUACACACCAAUUUCACUUCUAAGUGUUUGCUUUAAGGUGCUUGAGCAUCUGAUUUUGCAAAGAAUUUCACCAUCUGUGGAAAGCAUGCUGGCACCAGAGCAAGUUGGUUUUCGUCAUGGUUGUAGUACAUCUGAUCAAGUACUGGCACUUACAACUUUCAUCGAAAAUGGAUUCCAAGAUAAGCUGAAGACUGGUUCAGUUUUUCUUGACCUGACCAUGGUAUAUAAUAUGAUUUGGCACAUGGACCUUUUGGUGAAAUUGUCUAGAACUAUGCCAGGUUUGUUUGUUUGUGCAAUGGCUCUGUUUUUGAGAAAUUGCCAUUUCCAUGUGCAUAUUGGUGAUAGAACAAGUGCUUGGAGGCACCAGAAAAAUGACCUCCUGAAAGGAUCAGUAUUAUCUCCAAUGUCAUUCAACUUAUAUUUGAAUGACCUACCAUAUACCAGGUCUCACAAGUUUGUUUAUGCAGAUGGCAUAUUCCUUGGCACUCAGUCACACUCCUUUGAUAUAUUUGAGAGUGUUUUGAAUGCAGAUAUGGCUGCUAUGGCCAAUUAUUGUCAUCUGUGGUGCCUGAUACCAAGUGGAAGUAAGACUGUGUCGAGUGUCUUCCACUUACAUCAUGCACAAGCGGACAGAGAGCUGAAUAUAGUUCUCAAUGGUCAGCGAAUAAAGCA
rnacentral:lncRNA from 1 species